rnacentral:rRNA from 1 species
UACGGAGGGUGCGAGCGUUGUCCGGAAUCACUGGGCGUAAAGGGCGCGUAGGCGGCGCGAGCAGUCGGCGGUGAAAGCCCGGAGCUCAACUCCGGGUCGGCCGUCGAUACUCUCGUGCUUGAGCACUGUAGAGGCAGGUGGAAUUCCUGGUGUAGCGGUGAAAUGCGCAGAGUAUCAGGAGGAACACCGGUGGCGAAGGCGGAUCUCUGGGCCGAUACUGACGCUGAGGAGCGAAAGCGUGGGGAGCGAACAGG